rnacentral:rRNA from 1 species
GGAUUUCUGUCGUGGUCAUCCGGCUCCGCCUGUAUGGGUGUGCGCCUGGUUUGCCCUCGGCUUUCUUCCGGUAGCCUGCCGCGCUUCACUGCGUGUGUGGGGGUUCCGGAACUUUUACUUUGAGAAAAAUAGGGUGUUUCAAGCAGGCUUGUCGCCCUGAAUACUUCAGCAUGGAAUAAUAAGAUAGGACCUUGGUUCUAUUUUGUUGGUUUCUAGGACCAAGGUAAUGGUUAAUAGGGACAGUUGGGGGCAUUCGUAUUUAACUGUCAGAGGUGAAAUUCUUAGAUUUGUUAAAGACGAACUACUGCGAAAGCAUUUGCCAAGGAUGUUUUCAUUAAUCAAGAACGACAGUAGGGGGUCUGAAGACGAUUAGAUACCGUCGUAAUCUCUACCAUAAACUAUGCCGACUAGAGAUAGGGAAUGCAUUAUCCCAAUCUUCCCUGCACCUCAUGAGAAAUCAAAGUCUCUGGGUUCUGGGGGGAGUAUGGUCGCAAGGCUGAAACUUAAAG